GAAGGAAGGAAGCAUGGUAAUGAGCACAAAAAUUGAUUUGGGUCUCUAGGCCUACCCUCCCUAAUGUUUUUCGGCUUUGAUUUAGGGGCAUGGUUCUACAGCAAAACA